AACGAACGCUGGCGGCAUGCCUAACACAUGCAAGUCGAACGAGACCUUCGGGUCUAGUGGCGCACGGGUGCGUAACGCGUGGGAACCUGCCCUUAGGUUCGGAAUAACUCCCCGAAAGGGGUGCUAAUACCGGAUAAUGUCUUCGGACCAAAGAUUUAUCGCCUUUGGAUGGGCCCGCGUUGGAUUAGCUAGUUGGUAGGGUAAAAGCCUACCAAGGCGACGAUCCAUAGCUGGUCUGAGAGGAUGAUCAGCCACACUGGGACUGAGACACGGCCCAGACUCCGGCGGAAGGAAGAAGGGGGGAUUAUGGAACAAGGGGCGAAGGCUGGACCACUCAUGGCCGGGGGAGGUUUGAGGCCCUAAGGGUGUAAAAGCUUUUUACCCCGGGAUGAAAAGAACGGAACGGGGAAAAAAACCCCCGCCAACCUCGGU
rnacentral:rRNA from 1 species